UAUACCCGGUCAAGUGUGCGACGACCCUUAUUCUCAUUUAUGCCUACUAAGGAAAAAUUUUGUCUAAAACAAGAUAAUAAGAGGAAUAAGAAAAUCUUACCCCUUUACCGUCAUAUAACA